rnacentral:rRNA from 1 species
GGAGGGGUGCGAGCGUUAAUCGGAAUUACUGGGCGUAAGGCGCGCGUAGGCGGGCUUGGUCAGUCGGGAUGUGAAAGCCCCCGGGGCUUAACCUGGGAAUUGCAUUCGAUACUGCCAGACUAGAGUAUGGGAGAGGGAAGCGGAAUUUCCGGUGUAGCGGUGAAAUGCGUAGAUAUCGGAAGGAACACCAGUGGCGAAGGCGGCUUCCUGGCCCAAUACUGACGCUGAGGUGCGAAAGCGUGGGGAGCGAACAGGAUUAGAUACCCUGGUAGUCCACGCCGUAAACGAUGAGAACUAGAUGUCGGGAGGAUUUGCCUCUCGGUGUCGCAGCUAACGCGUUAAGUUCUCCGCCUGGGGAGUACGCCGGCAACGGUA